AAAAAGAUUGGAAAAAUGUGAACCGGGAACACUUGAUUACAACUUGAAAAGGCUUUAGUUUUUUCCUCGCGCCUUCUGAUUGUAGUCCGUUGUAACAACGUCGUCGAUCCAAGUCGACCUUCACCGUAGCCGAUCCGAGUUCCGAUCGCUGAGCCACCCGGCAGAGGUGUGUUCGCGACUCGGACGAUCGGAGCUGGUGAACUCAUCCACGCGGCCACACCCAUCGUCUCUUUCUCUCUACAACGGGUGUUUGCUAUUUGUGCCUCGGAAGUCUUAGAAAUUGAAUCACGUCUACAGCCAAGAAUGUGAGGAACAAUCUUAAGGUAAGUAAACUUGUGACCCUUACUGCGACAGAUAUGGAGCACGUUGAUCAGAAGCUCAAAUUAUGCCGGGAUCCGCUCACAUGACGAGUAUUGCUAAUGCACUUUUAUGUAUUAGGAGUAACUUUUGCUUUGAUAGUACGCUCUAUGUCUCUCAAUUGUCGUUAAUUUGUUGUAUCAGGAGUAAGAAACGAAAGCACCAGUCCAAGGAGAGUUCAAGUGAAUUGCAUGCAUAAUUUCACUGUUUGUUAUGGUGCCUCGACAUAUACGUUUCACUACAAGAAUGUGGUUUUCAAAUUUGGAAAAUCUUCUUAAUUUGUUUUGAUUUUGAUGUGGUCUGAAGCAGUCAUACCACUCCAUACAUGAUUUGAAAAAUUAGUGAGCGAGUGGUUGUUGAUUAGCUACGGUCCGUUGUAUACUUAUGGUGAUUAUUAUGACAUUUGUUGGAGGAAUCUUGCUGAGAAAAUAUCACCAUUACGAAUGCAAGCGGAGGAAAUUGAAUACUCAUUGUUGAGACGUUGGGUUUCAAGCUCUAGUGUUUAAAUUUCAGUUUAUGAAACUACCAAUUAAAGUGCAUCAUUAUGAUUUCAGUUUGAGCCCAAUUGAAUCCUCUGUUUUGCUUCUUUUUUGUUUUGGGAUUCAUUCAUGUUGCAUGUGGGAUCCGCAGGUAGAUUAUCAGAACCAUAAUCUAGUCUGUUUUUGUAACUAAUGUCAAUGUGGUAUAUGUUAUGCACUUGGUAGUUUAUGAGACCCACAAUUUGGUCUGUUUUGACUGUGAACUGAAGAUCUGUUUUGGUAAUGCCAUUUAAGAGAUGUUUGGAACCUGUUUAUGACCUAUUUUGUUUGUGGUAUGUUAUGAACCUGUUUUGUUUAAGAGAUGUUUAGAGCAGGUUCUGUAUUUGUUACUGGAAUGACUGUGUUUGUUACUGCAGUUUGUGAAAGUUUGUGACUGCAGCUGUUACUUACAUCUGCACUUGGAAUGAAGCUGUUAGUUACUGCACUUGGAAUGAAGCUAUUAGUUACUGCACUUGGAAUCUACCCUUGGAAGCUGUUAGUUUCUGCAUCAGUUGAAUCUGCAGUUGUAUUGGUUUUUAGAGCAGAUUGAGAAAGUAUUUGGUGCAAGUCAGCCUGAUAUUCUUGAAAUUGAGAAGGCAAAGAAAUUGCUCAAGAAAUGCUGUUUUUUCGAUGACUAUUACUGCUGCAGCUGAUGGGAAUUGCUACUGGGUUGGAAGUGCGGAGGUAUCGGGACCGCAAUGCUUGUAUCGGGUGAAUUUUCUGCUGCUCAAACAAUGAAUCAGCUCUCCACGUCCAUUAAAAUCAAACAAUCAUUGGAGGGGAUGCAUUAUGGUGCAAGCCCUUUCUCUCAUUCUCCUACUGCUACAGUACUAUUUGCUCUAUCUAUAUUAUUCAUUUUUCUAGUGUUACUAGUAUGGUACAAACAUAUAGUAAUGAGACGACGUAUGUGGUUUGAUAGACAAUCUUGUGAAUGAUUUCGACAAUGUGUUUCAUUCGGACGUAUGUGGUUUGAUAGACAAUCUUGUGAAUGAUAUCGACAAUGUGUUUCAUUCGGAAAUAUGGAAGACAGAUUUGUUGGAUAGGAGUA